rnacentral:tRNA from 1 species
GCCCGCCUAGCUCAAUCGGAUAGAGCGUCAGACUCUUACUAGGGGGUGAUCUGAAGGCUGCGAGUUCGACCCUCGCGGUGGGCU